GUCUGAUGUAUUCUGUUGGUUUCUAGGACCAUCGAAAUGAUUACAUAGAAGAGCGGACGGGGGUAUCAGUAUUCAGUUGUCAGAGGUGAAAUUCUUGGAUUUACUGAAGACUAACUACUGUGAAAGCAAAGACCAAGCACGUUUUCUUUAAUCAAGAACAAAAGUUAGGGGAUCGAAGAAGAUCAGAUACCGUCGUAGUCUUAACCAUAAACUAUGCCGACUAGGGAUCGGGUGUUGUUCUUUUAUUGACGCCCUCGGCCCCUUACGAAAAAUAAAAGUCUUUGGGUUCUGGGGGGAGUAUGGCCGCAAGGCUGAAACUAAAAGGAAUUGACGGAAGGGCCCCCCAAGGAGUGGAGCCUGCGGCUUAAUUUGACUCAACACGGGAAAACUCACCACGUCCAGACACAAAAGGGAUUGACAGAUUGAGAGCUCUCUCUUGAUUUUGUGGGUGGGGGUGCAGGGCCGUUCUUAUUGGGUGGAGUGAUUUGUCUGCUUAAUUGCGAUAACGAACGAGACCUUCACCUGCUAAAUAGUGCUGCUAGCUUUUGCUGGUAUAGUCUCUUCUUAGAGGGACUAUCGUUUUCAAGUCGAU
rnacentral:rRNA from 1 species